rnacentral:rRNA from 1 species
GACGAACGCUGGCGGCGUGCUUAACACAUGCAAGUCGAACGGAAAGGCCCUGCUUUUGUGGGGUGCUCGAGUGGCGAACGGGUGAGUAACACGUGAGUAACCUGCCCUUGACUUUGGGAUAACUUCAGGAAACUGGGGCUAAUACCGGAUAGGAGCUCCUGCUGCAUGGUGGGGGUUGGAAAGUUUCGGCGGUUGGGGAUGGACUCGCGGCUUAUCAGCUUGUUGGUGGGGUAGUGGCUUACCAAGGCUUUGACGGGUAGCCGGCCUGAGAGGGUGACCGGCCACAUUGGGACUGAGAUACGGCCCAGACUGCUACGGGAGGCAGCAGUGGGGAAUAUUGCCCAGUGGGCGGAAGCCUGAUGCAGCAACGCCGCGUGCGGGAUGCCGGCCUUCGGGUUGUAAACCGCUUUCGCCUGUGACGAAGCGUGAGUGACGGUAAUGGGUAAAGAAGCACCGGCUAACUACGUG